AGAGUUUGAUCAUGGCUCAGAGCGAACGCUGGCGGCAUGCUUAACACAUGCAAGUCUCACGGGCAGCAAUGUCAGUGGCGGACGGGUGAACAACGCGUAGGAAUCUGUCCUUAGGUGGGGGAUAACUGUGGGAAACUACAGCUAAUACCGCAUGAUACCUGUGGGUCAAAGGCGCGAGUCGCCUAGGGAGAAGCCUGCGUACGAUUAGCUAGUUGGUGGGGUAAGAGCCUACCAAGGCGACGAUCGUUAGCUGGUCUGAGAGGAUGAUCAGCCACAUUGGGACUGAGACACGGCCCAAACUCCUACGGGAGGCAGCAGUGGGGAAUAUUGGACAAUGGGCGAAAGCCUGAUCCAGCAAUGCCGCGUGUGUGAAGAAGGUCUUCGGAUUGUAAAGCACUUUCGACGGGGACGAUGAUGACGGUACCCGUAGAAGAAGCCCCGGCUAACUUCGUGCCAGCAGCCGCGGUAAUACGAAGGGGGCUAGCGUUGCUCGGAAUGACUGGGCGUAAAGGGCGCGUAGGCGGUUCAGACAGUCAGAUGUGAAAUUCCCGGGCUUAACCUGGGGGCUGCAUUUGAUACGUCUGGGCUUGAGUGAGGAAGAGGGUCGUGGAAUUCCCAGUGUAGAGGUGAAAUUCGUAGAUAUUGGGAAGAACACCGGUGGCGAAGGCGGCGACCUGGUCCUUUACUGACGCUGAGGCGCGAAAGCGUGGGGAGCAAACAGGAUUAGAUACCCUAGUAGUCC
rnacentral:rRNA from 1 species